UUUUAUAUGUACAUGAAUCUCGUGCGAAUUGACGCCCAAUAACAGCGACACUCUCCAAUCUCUUGCUUCUUUCCAAAACCCAGAUUUCUCUCAACACAGAGGGAUAGAUUAUAGAUAGAUGCAAGAGCUUUCUUAGCUUUAAGAUAUCACAUAUCAGCUCCCUUUCUUGCAAGUUUCUCUUUUCUUUUCUUCAUGCCUAUAUCCUCUUAAAUUCCCAGACCUUAAUAGCUUUGUAUUCAUUCUAAAGAUCGCUUUUUGGCAUCUGGGUUUGCUUCAUUCCCCUCCUUACUUUCCCCUUUCUUUUACCCAACUUUCUGCCCAUUCUUCAAAAGACCGCUUUUUGUCCCUCUCAUUUCGCCUUUGCUAAUCUUGAGGAAAAAUCAAGGAGGGGUUGUAUGAGACAUUAUUGGUUGUAUUAACUUUAUUGCUUCUAAGAAUAGCAGCUAUCUUAGGAUGGGAGAUCAUUUUGUUUUUCUGGUUGACCGUUUGCUCACCGAAUCGACUUUGGAGGCUGCAAUAGAGAGCAGGAAUCAGAAACAGUUAACCGUUGAGGAUAUGGCAAUAGAUUGCUCUUCUAAGGACUCUGAGGCCGUUUCGUCUCUGAAGAAGAUUGUUGAGUGCAGGAUAUGCCAGGAUGAAGAUUUCGACUCGAAUAUGGAGACCCCCUGCUAUUGCUGUGGUAGUUUGAAGUAUGCACAUAGGAAAUGCGUGCAAAGGUGGUGUAACGAGAAGGGUGACACUUUAUGCGAGAUAUGCAACCAGCCUUUCACGCCUGGGUAUACAGCGCCACCCCCAAUUUUUCGUCUCGGGGGAAUUCCAAUGAACUUUAGGGGAAAUUGGGGAAUUGCCAGAAGGGACUUGAAUUAUGCUCAUCUCACUGCAGUUGUUUCAGCUGAUCGGAAUUUCGUUGAUUCUUCCGAUGAUGAUUAUGCAGUUUCUACAUCAAGUUCAAAUGUUAUGUGUUUUCGUUCUAUCGCCAUAAUAUUCAUGGUUCUUAUAAUUCUCCGUCACACUCUUCCAAUCAUCAGUGUUCAAGAAUGGGAUUAUCCGUUCCCCUUAAUCAUGGUGAGUUGCUACUCCUAAGAAUUGCCGGGGUGGUUUUUCCUAUCUACUUUAUAUUCAAAGCCGUGACUUCUUUCCUACACCGCAGACAGCAACAGGCUAAUCAAUACACUCCUCCCUCUGAUGAAGAAGCUGGCUAGUACUAGUGUGUUCUUUACAAAGGUGUCGGGGUUCUUGAUAACCAUCCCGGGGUGUCUGCAAACACUAGUGUGUUCUUUACAAUGGUGUCGGGGUUUGGUAACCAUCCCGGGGUGUCUGCACUAUCGACCUCAUAUUGUUACCAUACAACAAUACUUCAAAUUGUGAAUAGUUUGGAAUGACAGAAGUGACAAUGUACAUCAAAAUUGAGAUCACAUACAGUGGUCCUCGAAAUCGAGAGGAAAAGAAAAAGAAAGUUAUUGAAAGUGUUGAAGAUUCUAGCUUGUUAGAGGUUUUAGGUGAACCAGUUGGAACUGUUAUUGUAUGUUCCAUUGAUCCUGUCUGUAUAGUGUUUUUACAAGGAAUGUAAACUAGUUUUUAGCUUUAUAUGUACAUUCUUCUUUCUUGCA